rnacentral:rRNA from 1 species
CCUACGGGUGGCAGCAGUGGGGAAUAUUGGUCAAUGGGGGGAACCCUGAUCCAGCGACGCCGCGUGAGUGAAGAAGUAUUUCGGUAUGUAAAGCUCUAUCAGCAGGGAAGAAAAUGACGGUACCUGACUAAGAAUCCCCGGCUAACUACGUGCCAGCUGCCGCGGUAAUAUGUAGGGGGCAAGCGUUAUCCGGAUUUACUGGGUGUAAAGGGAGCGUAGACGGUUCAGCAAGUCUGAUGUGAAAGGUCGGGGCCCAACCCCGGGAUUGCAUUGGAGACUGUUGACCUGGAGUACAGGUGAGGUAGGCGGAAUUCGUGGUGUAGCGGUGAAAUGCGUAGAUAUUAGGAAGAACACCAGUGGCGAAGGCGGCUUACUAAACUGUAACUGACGUUGAGGCUCGAAAGCGUGGGGAGCAAACAGGAUUAGAUACCCGAGUAGUC